GUGUCAGCCGCCGCGGUAAUACGUAGGGUGCGAGCGUUAAUCGGAAUUACUGGGCGUAAAGUGUGCGCAGGCGGCGCCGCAAGUCGAGUGUGAAAGCCCCGAGCUUAACUUGGGAAUUGCGCUCGAAACUAUGGUGCUGGAGUGUGGCAGAGGAAGGUGGAAUUCCACGUGUAGCGGUGAAAUGCGUAGAGAUGUGGAGGAACACCGAUGGCGAAGGCAGCCUUCUGGGCCAACACUGACGCUCAUGCACGAAAGCGUGGGGAGCAAACAGGAUUAGAAACCCCCGUAGUCC
rnacentral:rRNA from 1 species